AUUGAACGCUGGCGGCAUGCUUUACACAUGCAAGUCGAACGGUAACAGGCCUUCGGGUGCUGACGAGUGGCGAACGGGUGAGUAAUGCAUCGGAACGUGCCCAGAGGUGGGGGAUAACGCAGCGAAAGCUGUGCUAAUACCGCAUGUGAUCUGAGGAUGAAAGCGGGGGACCAGGCAGCAAUGUUUGGCUUCGCGCCUUUGGAGCGGCCGAUGUCAGAUUAGGUAGUUGGUGGGGUAAAGGCCUACCAAGCCGACGAUCUGUAGCUGGUCUGAGAGGACGACCAGCCACACUGGGACUGAGACACGGCCCAGACUCCUACGGGAGGCAGCAGUGGGGAAUUUUGGACAAUGGGCGCGAGCCUGAUCCAGCAAUGCCGCGUGCGGGAAGAAGGCCUUCGGGUUGUAAACCGCUUUUGUACGGAACGAAAAGGCUCUGGCUAAUACCUGGGGCUGAUGACGGUACCGUAAGAAUAAGCACCGGCUAACUACGUG
rnacentral:rRNA from 1 species